GGGCGAAAUUCUGUUGCAGCGACGCCGUUGAGGGAUGACGGCCUUCGGGUUGUAAACCUCUUUCAGCAGGGAAGAAGCUAAAGUGACGGUACCUGCAGAAGAAGCGCCGGUUAACUACGUGCCAACAGCCGGGGUAAUACGUAGGGCGCAAGCGUUUCCGGAAUUAUUGGGCGUAAAAAGCUCGUAGGCGGCUUGUAACGUCCGAUGUUAAAGCCCUUGGCUUAACCCCGGGUCUGCAUUCGAUACGGGCAGGCUAGAGUUCGGUAGGGGAGAUCGGAAUUCAUGGUGUAGCGGUGAAAUGCGCAGAUAUCAGGAAGUAACACCGGUCGGCAAAGGCCCAUCUGUGGGCCGAUACUGACCCUGAGGAAUCGAAAGCGUGGGGGAGCAAACACGAUUAGAUACCCUGGUAGUCCACGCCGUAAACAAUUGGGAACUAUGGCGGGGGGGGACAUCGCCAUGAUCGUCCGUGCCGCCUUUAACUAACGCCAUCAAGUUCCCCGCUCUUGGGGACUACGGCCGCAUUAGGCUAAAACUCAAAGGAAUUGACGGGGGCCCGCACAAGCGGCGGAGCAUGUGGCUUAAUUCGACGCAACGCGAAGAACCUUACCAAGGCUUUACAUACACCGGAACACCCAGAGAUGGGUGCCCCCUUGUGGUCGGUGUACAGGUGGU
rnacentral:rRNA from 1 species